GGGCGGACGGAUAGAACAAUGGAGCGCAUUCCAAAUACGGCACAGAAGACCCUGCAAAAAAACUGGUACCUCUGCUCAGAACAUAUGGGGAGUGCGAACGGAGCGACUGCAGUGACCAAGGGAGAGCCCAUUAUCCUGUCAAGCUCUGCUUGGGUAUGUACUUCAAUGUGUAGCUCCUCUCGGGCUUCGCUCUAAACUUGGGCCUGUAGCCGACAGCUGACGCCGAGUUGGCCGCCGCCAUCUCGACAUCCACAUUUUCGACUUGACUGCAGUGGCUGGAAGAGUCGAUCGGCGGUGGUUGCGCGCCGGUGCCAGUGCGCGAUUCCUCGCAGAAGCCGAUGUCGGGCACCCCGGUGCGUGAUUCUUCGUGGAGGUCGGCACCAC
rnacentral:lncRNA from 1 species